UCUUGUGAACCGUCAAUACAACAUACUGUUACAAUAUUGAAAACAAAUAAUUUUUCAAAUCAACUUUCAGCCAAAUUGAUCUACACGAUUUCGUGAUCAAUUAUCGCGAACUGAUUUUGAUUUCAGCGUCCAGUGCCCAAUUCCUUCGGCCAACUAUUGUUUAAUAGCAACGUGGUUUUGAACGAACUUUGGUUGUCUGUUAUACUGGAGAUUUGCAUCUUGCCAUGAAUGCUACAAUAUGCAAAGUGAGCUAAAAAGUUGUUGGCUGUUUCGCCUCACCAAUCAUCCUCACAACCGGCGGCGUUCAGAGAUACUUGUGACCGUAUAAAUUUUCAUAGAAAUUACUAUACGCGAUUGAAUCGUAAUUACACUUUUUGUUUUCAUUCCAUCGUCUACCUGUUACAAAACUGUGAUUGGAAACCUCGACGGUCAUACAGUCGCAAUUUAAAAAAAUAAUUGUUUGGUGUGGUGGAAUCUUUUAAACUUACAAAACCCGUUUUCGUUUCUAUUGUCGAAAAACUUGUGAGAAAUAAAAAAAUUUAUUAUAAAAUGUUUUAGUAUAUAGACGCCUGUUUAAAACAGACGUCAACAAGAAUUUUAUUUACGGACGGUCUCAUCUUUCGGCGGUUUUUCAAGGGGACACCUCCCACUCAACCAUCCACAUGAUUCGGAGUCGGGAAUUCGUUUCCGUUGUCCUGAAUUUGAUUCGACCCAAGUCGUGCUAGCCAGAUAAUGAAAUCAUUUUCGACUGGUUAAUUUUUGAAUCCCACGGAUAUUUAAGAAAAAAGAUUUUCGCACCUUAAGUAGGCUACGUAUAUAAAAAUCGUGUUAUCUUUGUACAGUUGAUUGUUGAUAUCGUUAAAUGUUGUUGUAUAUACCGUGCCUUUUCUACUAGAA